rnacentral:rRNA from 1 species
UUAGAUACCCCCGUAGUCCUAGCCGUAAACGAUACUCGCUAGGUGUCGGCCACGGUGCGACCGUUGUCGGUGCCGUAGGGAAGCCGUGAAGCGAGCCACCUGGGAAGUACGGCCGCAAGGCUGAAACUUAAAGGAAUUGGCGGGGGAGCACCACAACGCGUGGAGCCUGCAGUUUAAUUGGAUUCAACGCCGGACAUCUCACCAAGGGCGACAGCAGAAUGAUGGCCAGGUUGAUGACCUUGCUUGACAAGCUG